UUAAAUACUAGAACAUCCAUAGCCAACAAACUAAAGAGUUUCUAAAUAUCCAUCAAAUCAACAACAAAUUAGCAACAAAUGAUCAAGGAAAGAGUCCACAAUUUCAAUGUACAACACUUACAUUACAACUAGCUGCUGAAGAAUCUAUUGUGGAGACUUUAAUUUCUGCCCAAAACACAAAAUUUCGCUGCCGAAACCUUGAAAUAUCUGCACAAGUUCAAGCUAUUCUUAAAUCCAGAAAAUACUUAAACAAAUUUUCAAGCUAUUUUCCUACACUAACAUAAAGCUAAAUGGAUACCUAAACCGCUAAACGAAUCUGCCAGAUCCCAGAUGAAGUAUUCCUACACUAACACAAUAACACAAGGCUAAAAUUCUAAAUGGAUACAUUCUUCACAACAGUGACUUCGCCAUUUAUCUAGUACAAUCGAAAAAAAUGAAAGAAUGGUGAAAUACUAACCUGCUAGACGGUGGUGGAGUGAAAGCAGGCGGGCAGCGGCGGCGCUGAUUUGUAGCAGGGCGGCGAGGGUGGGAGUGAAAGCAGCAGCAGAAGUUCCAGCCUCCAGGCGCCGUGGAGUGGCCGGCGUUGCCGCGUGGGGCGUGAGGCGUGAGGCAGGGUGGGGUGGCGACCGACGACGAUGACGUGACGAACAAGAGGCCGCGGCGGCGCUUCCUUAGGUCGCAGACUCGCAGGUGCAGGCAGGAACGAAGAAGAAGAUGAAUUCUUUCAGAUUUGAAACUUGAAAGUGAGGCAGCGGCGCUGCCUUUAGGGCUUAGAAGUCAGAAAUUAGAAUUAGGGUUAGAUAUUUU
rnacentral:lncRNA from 1 species